rnacentral:rRNA from 1 species
UACGUAGGGUGCGAGCGUUGUCCGGAAUUAUUGGGCGUAAAGAGCUCGUAGGCGGUCUGUCGCGUCUGCUGUGAAAACCCGAGGCUCAACCUCGGGCCUGUAGUGGGUACGGGCAGACUAGAGUGCGGUAGGGGAGAAUGGAAUUCCUGGUGUAGCGGUGGAAUGCGCAGAUAUCAGGAGGAACACCGAUGGCGAAGGCAGUUCUCUGGGCCGUAACUGACGCUGAGGAGCGAAAGCGUGGGGAGCGAACAGG